CAGUCGUUAAAAAGUUUUACACGGUUUAGUUAUUUUUUACGUUUUAUAAGUGGAGUAUUAUACGAAUAACGUAUAAAACGUUUUAUAUGCGUAUAUUACCAACCCUACUAAAAACAUUAGCGUCGUACACUUUCUCAUUUUGUCUAAGUUUAUUUCUAAUUAUUAGGGCAACUACACAGAAAAUCAAAAAAAAAAUUUCAGUAAUACACAAAAUAGAUAGCUAAUGUUAUAAAAAAAGCUCGUUUGUUUUUUUUUUUAUUUGGAGUGAAAUUUCUGGUAGAAAAG